ensembl:snRNA U1 U1 spliceosomal RNA
AUACUUAACCUGGCAGGAGAGAGGUCAUCAUGCAGGUGGCUUUCUCAGGGCGAGGCUUAUCCAUUGCCCUCCGGAUGUGCUGAGCCCGGCGAUUAUCCCCGAAUGUGGGCAACUCGACUGCGUAAUUUGUGGUAGUAGGGGACUGCGUUAGCGCUCUGCUCUC